UACGUAGGGCGCGAGCGUGUCCGGAAUUAUUGGGCGUAAAGAGCUCGUAGGCGGCUUGUCACGUCGGGUGUGAAAGCCCGGGGCUUAACCCCGGGUCUGCAUUCGAUACGGGCUAGCUAGAGUGUGGUAGGGGAGAUCGGAGUUCCUGGUGUAGCGGUGAAAUGCGCAGAUAUCAGGAGGAACACCGGUGGCGAAGGCGGAUCUCUGGGCCAUUACUGACGCUGAGGAGCGAAAAGCGUGGGGGAGCGAACAGG
rnacentral:rRNA from 1 species